ensembl:lncRNA
UAAUAAUCCGAUUUACUUUGGUCUGAGGUACCGCAGACUGCACCGACUUUCCCUUUACCAAGUACCAGAAAUCGGGUUUAUUGCAGUUAUUUGUUUAUUUAUUUAUUUUAUACGGUUGUGAUUAGUUGUUCUGUUUGUGUGCGCGUCUGUAUUUUUAUUUAUUCGUUAUUUUUUUUAGAAUCAGUUCCAGGAACUGCUGAUGAAGGAGGACUGUGCAGACCCGCAUCGUGGAAGUCUAACCUACAAUAAUAAUUAUAAUAAUAAUUAUAAUAAUAAUAAUAAUAACAAUGCGACUCGAUUCUUCUUAAAGUGGUCGGUGUGAUUAUCUGGGUUUAUUAUAGAGGAUGCGAGGGGUCCAGUACUGAGAGACACGGAUACUGUUCCGGCUCUCUCUCUCUCUCUCUCUCUCUCUCUCUCUCUCUCUCUCUCUCUCUCUCUCUCUCUCACCAUUUCCUCAUGGAUUGAAUUUUACGACUGGGAAUAGACAUGGAUUAACAUGCCGAUGUUUGUUUAUCGGAGAUGUAAAUAAUUGCACUGGAGCACAUCGGAGGAUCAUUAUGGCUCUGGGGGCAGAUCAGAGGUUAAGGUUGCCUUGGGCUAAAAAAUGAGCCAUAGCAUAACCAUCUCUAGGAUUCAGACAAAUAUCCACGUCAGUAACUACAGGUGAGAUAGAUGGCCUACCAGAAUGUCCCA